rnacentral:rRNA from 1 species
ACAACCUGCCGUAUGCAGGGGGAUACCAGCUGGAAACAGCUGCUAAUACCGCAUAUGCGCACAGGGGCCGCAUGGCCUGGUGCGGAAAGUAGCAAUCCGGCAUACGAUGGGUCCGCGUCCGAUUAGCUAGUUGGCGGGGCAGCGGCCCACCAAGGCGACGAUCGGUAGCCGGCCUGAGAGGGCGGACGGCCACAUUGGGACUGAGACACGGCCCAGACUCCUACGGAAGGCAGCAG